rnacentral:lncRNA from 1 species
UGUGAGGUGGAUGGAGGAGGAUUUAGGGGCUGAGGAGGAUUUGGGGGCAUGAGGUGUGGGAGGAGGGUUGGGGAGAAGGGUUGAGGGCGUGAGUUGGUGGGAAGGGCUUGAGAGCAUGAUGUGGGAGGAGGGUUGAGGGCGUGAGGUAGGGGGAAGAGGUUUGAGGGUGAGAGGUAGUGGGACGAGGGAGGGUUGGGGCGUGAGGUGGAGGGAGGAGGGUUUGGGGGCAUGAGGUGUGGGGAAGAGGGUUUAGGGGCAUGAGGUGUGGGGGUAGGAGGGUUGAGGGUGUGAGGUGGACAGAGGAGAGUUGAUGGCGUGCAGUGGGGGGAGGAGGGUUUGGGGGCGUGAGGUCGCAGGAGGCUGUCAAAAAAAAAAGAGAGAAAUGAAGGAUUCCUUUUAUGGGCUUAUCAGUGGACUAUGAACAGCUUAGGAGAGAAUCUCUGAGCUUGAGGAUAUGACAGUACUUUGCUGACAUGUUGAUCUCAGACUUCCAGCCUCCAGAACUGUGAGACAGUAAAUGUUGUUUAAAAAAGAAAUAAAGGGAAAGAAAGAAAGGGAAGAACAAGAAAAUCAGCUAGAGAAGCUAAUUUAAUAGAAAAAAGGUAUGUCUAUUCGCUCUUAUAAUUAAAGAGUUUGGGAAGCAUGUAAAAACAGGAAAGCUACUUAAAAAACAAAUAAAAGGGCAGUGCAAGGUCUGAGAGACAGAGAUGGGAAAUGGAAGUCUCAGAUAUUGAACCAAACUGUAGGACCAAGUACACAUAAAACUACUCCCCCCUAAUUCAAUUCCGUGGAAGUAACUUUACUUUUAUUCAUUUCCUGACAUUCAUUAAUUUAUUUUAUUCUAAAUAUAUUAUUUCAAACAUUUGAUAAAAACUGACAUCAUGAAAGAGAGAAGCUAUGCUAACCAAACAGAAGAACCAACACUUAAGGAAUCA